UACGGAGGGAGCUAGCGUUGUUCGGAAUUACUGGGCGUAAAGCGCACGUAGGCGGCUUUGUAAGUUAGAGGUGAAAGCCCGGGGCUCAACCCCGGAAUUGCCUUUAAGACUGCAUCGCUUGAAUCCGGGAGAGGUGAGUGGAAUUCCGAGUGUAGAGGUGAAAUUCGUAGAUAUUCGGAAGAACACCGGUGGCGAAGGCGGGUCUCUGGGCCGGAUGACUGACGCUGGAGGAGCGAAAGCGUGGGGAGCGAACAGG
rnacentral:rRNA from 1 species